rnacentral:misc_RNA from 1 species
CUGUAUAAAAUACAUAUGCCACAUUGCGUGAAAUAUAUAUUAUAUACGUUGACGCGUAUACUAUUAUAUAUAUUAACGCAUAUGACGGUUCCGUGAUAUGUUAUAUUGCGGUCCGUUUAAAUAUUGUCUAACGACACACGUUGAUUAUAAUUUAUAUAUCAUACGACAAUGUUAGAGAUUAUCAUAAUAUUUGUCGAACGAUCGACGGUGUUACCGCUGAUGCGCUUUACGGCGUAAGGCGGGACGCUUUCGACUCUUCGAGUAUCCACACAUACGAGAGGGUUGAAUGCGUGUGCAUGUUUUUUUUUUUUUUUUUUUAAAAACAAGUUCAACACCGUUCACAUGUCGCGAGACACAUAAAUAUUAUCAAUCUCUAUACAAACAAUUGACGUAUACACAAAAGAUAUGUAAAAGCCUUAAAUCAUCGACAGUAGGCGGACUCGACGUCCGAAGAGCGCAUCGACGCCGUCGUCGUUAUCGAUCGUUAUUAUUGUAAAAAAUAUGUAACGUGUCGUAGCGGUUGCGUCGUCGUAACGCUGACGGAUAUCGCGUCUGCCUCAUUUUUUUAUCGUUGGCCUCAGAUCAGGGAGGAUCACCCGCCGAAUUUAAGCAUAUUAGUAAGCGGAGGAAAAGAAACUAACUAGGAUUUCCUUAGUAGCGGCGAGCGAACAGGAAAGAAGCCCAGCACUGAAUCCCGCCGUUGUUCAGGCGGCGGGAGAUGUGGUGUUCGGGAGGUUCCGCUUUCUCGUCGCGAUCGCUCCUGUCCAAGUUCGUCUUGAACGGGGCCGUUUUCCCGUAGAGGGUGCCAGGCCCGUAGCGACGGAGGAUCGCGGCGAGAGGGACUCUCCUUAGAGUCGGGUUGCUUGAGAGUGCAGCCCUAAGUGGGUGGUAA